rnacentral:rRNA from 1 species
GUAACACGUGGGCAAUCUGCCCUGCACUCUGGGACAAGCCCUGGAAACGGGGUCUAAUACCGGAUACUGAUCCGUCUGGGCAUCCAGACGGUUCGAAAGCUCCGGCGGUGCAGGAUGAGCCCGCGGCCUAUCAGCUUGUUGGUGAGGUAGUGGCUCACCAAGGCGACGACGGGUAGCCGGCCUGAGAGGGCGACCGGCCACACUGGGACUGAGACACGGCCCAGACUCCUACGGGAGGCAGCAGUGGGGAAUAUUGCACAAUGGGCGAAAGCCUGAUGCAGCGACGCCGCGUGAGGGAUGACGGCCUUCGGGUUGUAAACCUCUUUCAGCAGGGAAGAAGCGAAAGUGACGGUACCUGCAGAAGAAGCGCCGGCUAACUACGUGCCAGCAGCCGCGGUAAUACGUAGGGCGCGAGCGUUGUCCGGAAUUAUUGGGCGUAAAGAGCUCGUAGGCGGCUUGUCACGUCGGUUGUGAAAGCCCG